UUGCAUAUCUCCUACAUUGUGAGGCAGUAUAUCCUCAUCUCGAAAAACCUCCUGAGAUUGUAUUAAUCUCGUUGUGAACAGGCACCUCGUGCCUCUUGUCUACUGAUUGGAGUUCCUCCUUUGUCCCUUCUCGGCUUCCUUCAAGGUAUUCUUUCAGGACGCCUUCCUUCACCAGCCCUGCUAGCUGGUGUUGAACUUUGGAGCUUUGAUGUUUCAAAUCCACAUAAAGCCUGAAGUUGUG
rnacentral:lncRNA from 1 species